AAUAGAUACCCCGGUAGUCCACGCCGUAAACGAUGAGUGCUAAGUGUUAGAGGGUUUCCGCCCUUUAGUGCUGCAGCUAACGCAUUAAGCACUCCGCCUGGGGAGUACGGUCGCAAGACUGAAACUCAAAGGAAUUGACGGGGGCCCGCACAAGCGGUGGAGCAUGUGGUUUAAUUCGAAGCAACGCGAAGAACCUUACCAGGUCUUGACAUCCUCUGACAACUCUAGAGAUAGAGCGUUCCCCUUCGGGGGACAGAGUGACAGGUGGUGCAUGGUUGUCGUCAGCUCGUGUCGUGAGAUGUUGGGUUAAGUCCCGCAACGAGCGCAACCCUUGAUCUUAGUUGCCAGCAUUUAGUUGGGCACUCUAAGGUGACUGCCGGUGACAAACCGGAGGAAGGUGGGGAUGACGUCAAAUCAUCAUGCCCCUUAUGACCUGGGCUACACACGUGCUACAAUGGAUGGUACAAAGGGCUGCAAGACCGCGAGGUCAAGCCAAUCCCAUAAAACCAUUCUCAGUUCGGAUUGUAGG
rnacentral:rRNA from 1 species